rnacentral:rRNA from 1 species
AAAUUGAAGAGUUUGAUCAUGGCUCAGAUUGAACGCUGGCGGCAGGCCUAACACAUGCAAGUCGAACGGUAACAGGAAGUAGCUUGCUGCUUCGCUGACGAGUGGCGGACGGGUGAGUAAUGUCUGGGAAACUGCCUG